CAGCCGCCGCGGUAAAACCAGCACCUCAAGUGGUCAGGAUGAUUAUUGGGCCUAAAGCAUCCGUAGCUCGUUUUGUAAGUUUUCGGUUAAAUCCAUGCGCUUAACGUAUGGGCUGCCGGGAAUACUGCAUAACUAGGAAGUGGGAGAGGUAGACGGUACUCGGUAGGAAGGGGUAAAAUCCUUUGAUCUAUUGAUGACCACCUGUGGCGAAGGCGGUCUACCAGAACACGUUCGACGGUGAGGGAUGAAAGCUGGGGGAGCAAACCGGAUUAGAUACCCGGGUAGUCCCAGCUGUAAACUAUGCAAACUCAGUGAUGCAUUGGCUUGUGGCCAAUGCAGUGCUGCAGGGAAGCCGUUAAGUUUGCCGCCUGGGAAGUACGUACGCAAGUAUGAAACUUAAAGGAAUUGGCGGGGGAGCAC
rnacentral:rRNA from 2 species